UGGGGAAUAUUGCACAAUGGGCGCAAGCCUGAUGCAGCCAUGCCGCGUGUAUGAAGAAGGCCUUCGGGUUGUAAAGUACUUUCAGCGGGGAGGAAGGCGAUAAGGUUAAUAACCUUGUCGAUUGACGUUACCCGCAGAAGAAGCACCGGCUAACUCCGUGCCAGCAGCCGCGGUAAUACGGAGGGUGCAAGCGGUAAUCGGAAUUACUGGGCGUAAAGCGCACGCAGGCGGUCUGUCAAGUCGGAUGUGAAAUCCCCGGGCUCAACCUGGGAACUGCAUUCGAAACUGGCAGGCUAGAGUCUUGUAGAGGGGGGUAGAAUUCCAGGUGUAGCGGUGAAAUGCGUAGAGAUCUAGAGUAAUACCGGUUGCGAAGGCGGCCCCCUGGACAAAGACUGACGCUCAGGUGCGAAAGCGUGGGGAGCAAACA
rnacentral:rRNA from 1 species